rnacentral:tRNA from 1 species
AGGAUUGUAGUUUAAAUAAAAACAUUUAAUUUGCAUUUAAAAAUUACUAAAACCUAGUCUAUCUUA